rnacentral:rRNA from 1 species
UACGUAGGGGGCGAGCGUUGUCCGGAGUUACUGGGCGUAAAGCGCACGCAGGCGGUCGUGUCAGUUUGGGGUUACAGCUCCCGGCUUAACCGGGAGAGCGCCUCGAAGACGGCAGGACUUGAGGGCCAAAGAGGGACACAGAAUUCCGGGUGUAGUGGUGAAAUGCGUAGAUAUCCGGAGGAAUACCAAAGGCGAAGGCAGUGUCCUGGUUGGUACCUGACGCUCAGGUGCGAAAGCUAGGGGAGCGAACGGG